CCUUCGAGCCGGAAUCGAACCAGCGACCUAAGGAUAUGCAGUAUGAGACAACUACAGUCCUCAGCUCUACCAGCUGUUCCACCCGUCACGGCCCUCUGGAGUUCUCCACAGCCACGAGGCUCUUGACCGUGCAGGUUUUGGCUGUCUGUGCGUGGCCCAUGACUUGUGGAGAAGAGCAUAAUGGGGAAUCUGGGCUGAGACCAAAACAGUGUGGGGCUUCUGGAAGGGCAACAGUUGUUCAUGGAAACUGCAUUAAGCAGAGGCAUGCCGACUCCCGGCCGGGACCACAUCGACAGCAGUGAGGUGUGAGAACUCAUUCUCCUGGAGACUGAAGUGUUUGGCAGCAGAUGAGGAUCUCCAAGGGCAGUACGGGGAAACCGGGAUGUUCAGGCUCACGGAUUCAAGGCCAGUUUCCUCAACCCCAGAUGGUUUUCAGCCAGGACUGGUGGAGAAGCUCCACUAACAGCUGCUCCUGGCACCCAGAGGAGGUCUGGGGGUGUCUCUCAAGAUUUUUCCAUUCCCUUGCCACCUCCAUGUGUUGCUGGUACAGACACGGAA